AUGCAGUCGAACGGCAGCACGGACUUCGGUCUGGUGGCGAGUGGCGAACGGGUGAGUAAUGUAUCGGAACGUACCUUUCAGUGGGGGAUAACGUAGCGAAAGUUACGCUAAUACCGCAUAUUCUGUGCGCAGGAAAGCAGGGGAUCGCAAGACCUUGCGCUGAUUGAGCGGCCGAUAUCAGAUUAGCUAGUUGGUGAGGUAAAGGCUCACCAAGGCGACGAUCUGUAGCGGGUCUGAGAGGAUGAUCCGCCACACUGGAACUGAGACACGGUCCAGACUCCUACGGGAGGCAGCAGUGGGGAAUUUUGGACAAUGGGGGCAACCCUGAUCCAGCCAUGCCGCGUGAGUGAAGAAGGCCUUCGGGUUGUAAAGCUCUUUCGGCCGGGAAGAAAUCGUAUGAGCUAAUACCUGGUGCGGAUGACGGUACCGGCAUAAGAAGCACCGGCUAACUACGUGCCAGCAGCCGCGGUAAUACGUAGGGUGCGAGCGUUAAUCGGAAUUACUGGGCGUAAAGCGUGCGCAGGCGGUUUUGCAAGACAGGCGUGAAAUCCCCGGGCUCAACCUGGGAAUGGCGUUUGUGACUGCAAGACUGGAGUGCGGCAGAGGGGGGUGGAAUUCCACGUGUAGCAGUGAAAUGCGUAGAGAUGUGGAGGAACACCGAUGGCGAAGGCAGCCCCCUGGGUCGACACUGACGCUCAUGCACGAAAGCGUGGGGAGCAAACAGGAUUAGAUACCCUGGUAGUCCACGCCCUAAACGAUGCGAACUAGUGUUGGGGAAGGAGACUUUCUUAGUACCGUAGCUAACGCGUGAAGUUCGCCGCCUGGGGAGUACGGUCGCAGAUUAAAACUCAAAGGAUUGACGGGGACCGCACAAGCGGUGGAUGAUGUGAUUAUUCGAUGCACGCGAAAAACCUUACCUACCCUUG
rnacentral:rRNA from 1 species